rnacentral:rRNA from 1 species
CCUACGGGUGGCUGCAGUGAGGAAUAUUGGUCAAUGGACGCAAGUCUGAACCAGCCAUGCCGCGUGCAGGAAGACGGCUCUAUGAGUUGUAAACUGCUGUUGUACGAGGGUAAAUCCCGAUACGUGUAGAGGGUUGAAAGUAGCGUACGAAUAAGGAUCGGCUAACUCCGGGCCAGCAGCCGCGGUAAUACGGAGGAUUCAAGCGUUAUCCGGAUUUAGUGGGUUUACAGGGUGCGUAGGCGGUUCGAUCAGUUAGAGGUGAAAUCCCGGGGCUCAACUCCGGCACUGCCUCUGUUACUGUCGGGCUAGAUUUUAGUUGCGGUAGGCGGAAUGUAUGGUGUAGCGG